rnacentral:misc_RNA from 1 species
GAUGAAGAACUUAGCGAAAUGCGAUAAGUAAUGUGAAUUGCAGAAUUCAGUGAAUCAUCGAAUCUUUGAACGCACAUUGCGCCCCUUGGUAUUCCGGGGGGCAUGCCUGUUCGAGCGUCAUUUCAACCCUCAAGCUCAGCUUGGUAUUGAGUCCAUGUCAGUAAUGGCAGGCUCUAAAAUCAGUGGCGGCGCCGCUGGGUCCUGAACGUAGUAAUAUCUCUCGUUACAGGUUCUCGGUGUGCUUCUGCCAAAACCCAAAUUUUCUAUGGUUGACCUCGGAUCAGGUAGGGAUACCCGCUGAACUUAAGCAUAUCAAUAAGCGGAGGA